rnacentral:rRNA from 1 species
GGGGUCCUACGGGACGCAGCAGUGGGGAAUAUUGGGCAAUGGGCGCAAGCCUGACCCAGCAACGCCGCGUGAAGGAAGAAGGCUUUCGGGUUGUAAACUUCUUUUCUCAGGGACGAAGCAAGUGACGGUACCUGAGGAAUAAGCCACGGCUAACUACGUGCCAGCAGCCGCGGUAAUACGUAGGUGGCAAGCGUUAUCCGGAUUUACUGGGUGUAAAGGGCGUGUAGGCGGGACUGCAAGUCAGAUGUGAAAAACAUGGGCUCAACCUAUGGCCUGCAUUUGAAACUGUAG